UGUAAUUUCAUGCAAGAAUGACUCACCUGAAUUCAGGUGCUCUGCAAUAGCUUUUGCAGCAUGCAAAUCACAGCCUUGGCAGGGCUGCCAGUGCAAGGCUCUGUUAAUGUGACAGCGGGGGCAGAUCUUGGGGCGUCUGGUCUCUUUCUGAUUCACGGUGAUACAAAUAAGCCCAGGGAAGGACUUGCUGAGAAUGACUAGAUAAUGCCUAGGUGGCAAGCUAGGAAGUGGCAUUUGGAAGAGGCAAGCUCAUUCAUUGGCAUGACCAUGACAAGUCUGCUUUUAGCGGAGUUACGAUAUUCUCCACAGAGAAGCUGCCUGGAUCGGCCCGGUUCAUCUCUGGCGAGGCCGUGUUGGAUUUCAUCCCGAUUUCCUGCUCGCUUCCCCUUAUCCACGGAGGUGUUUGCGGCCGCAGCCUGCCUCCCGGUGGCCAGCUGGGGCACGGCAGGAGUGCCCCGGCCGCGGGGACACCGGGUGACAGCGCACGGCCUAAGGGACGCGCUUCUGAGGGACUGCAAAACCCCGUCCUGCCCAAACCCGGGGCAGAUAAUGCCACAGGGAUGUCCGAAUGGCUGAAGUGGGCUAUUCAAGACUAUCAACUCCACCGCCAGACCCAAGGUGAGAGUGUCACACCAAUGAUCUGCUGUCACUUCUGGCUGCUGGGGCUAUGCAGUGGCACCCCAGGGCUGAGAUCCUCUACUACUAUAACCCCAGCUUCAACAGAGAGCAUCCCUGGCUGUUGGAAACAUGCAAGAGGAGAGUGUCCUCACAGGAAGAGGCCCAGAUGCAGAAGAGAUGAAGGAAAGGCCCUUUCGAAGCCCCGAUGGUCAACCCAAACUUCAUGGAGAGGCAGAUAUGGGCUUCACACAGGCCCCUGUUAGAGAGCAGUCAGUGUCCAGUCUGUAGUGUCUAACUAAUAGCGCUGUUCCUAGAUUGAGAUACAUAGAGUUGGAAGAAAUAGAUCUGAGUUGGUAUUAAACCACUGGAAGAAUAAACCUUUCUCAGUUGUCCUGUGCUCUUUGCACAACCCCAGGGCGAGUUCCUAUUUUGAACACCCACGGACCAAGCAGAAGCAACCGAUUUCCCACCAGCUAAACCACUUCUUGGAAGUGACCAGCCCGGCUUCUUGCCCUAGAGGGCACGGGCUUGCGGUGCUCCUCCGGCUGAGGUCCGGGGACCGCCUCCACCAGGCCCUGGAGCCCUUCAGCCCCAGAGCAGCACUGAGGCAAAGAGUGCGGUUGAUGGGCACUGAACGGGCUGCCAGUGAGCGGCCCCGAGCCUGCCAGGAUAACUGAUACAACAACGCCGGGAGGGGCUUUCCCAAAGUCCCGAGCCCCCUGACUCGGGCUGACUGGCUGUGGGGCCGGC